UGAUAUUGACACAAGAAAAAAUAGAUGGUUUCAUGAAGACAAUUCCUGGUUUAUUUUAUACAAGUUUGUGGUGAAAGAUAUAUGGUGAAAUAUGGUAAAAUACAGCCACUCAUACGUUGGGCAGUGCUGACAAGUUGGCAAUACAGUUACUAGGGGAGUUUGUUUUGGUUUGUUUUUGUUAUCUGUUUGCAAUACCCAACACUAAACAUAUGAAGUUGGCUGCAGUAGUUUCAGCUGUGUUGUAUGACAUACCUCUCAAAACAUAACAAAUGGGGAAGCAGAAAAAAGUAUGUUUCAAGAGGACACACCCUGGGAGAGACCAGGGGUGAUCAUACAAACAGAGAUGGAAUAAUAUUUGAUAGGCUAAACUGUAUAGAUCAGAAUUGUGCAAACAACAGAAUUAGGAAGGUAUGCACAUGCAGGAAGUGUGAUGUGAAGAAUCUUCAUCAAAAGCCUGGACCAUAUAAUGGAAAUUCACUUGAUUCAAUAUUGCACAGUCAACCUGAAUUGCAGCUGAUGAUCGUGAACUGCUUGUUGACAAAAGGAGAAAAAGAAUUUUCCAAAAUAGAAAGAGGCAUGGGAGGAGAAAAGGAAGCCUGCGUGACACCAUGUACUAAUGAGAAAAAGUAAAACGAGAAAUGCUCAAGGAGAAAGAUAGUCAAAGAGAACAUGAAGGAAGAUGGAAUGAACUUAUAUGUCAAGUAGAACAGAAUAUUUUUCAAGGACCAAGUCCAUCUACCUGGACAUGUGAAAGAGGGGAUAAACCUGAGGAAGAACCUGGCUCAAGGGAAGAAUAUUUUAAAGAAGAAAAAGGUCACAGAGUUUGUGAUGGAUGUUGAAAGAAGAGUAAGACAAAUUUACAGUAAAAGAAACAAGUGGGAUUGCCAAAACAAGGGAAUAUCUGAAUAUGUUGGGAUGAGCAACUACAAUACAGAAGAUCAGUUAACCUUUCUUCAGACUUAGAACAGAUUCCACUACAAAGCCUCACACCUGACAUUUAAACUUGUCUGCAUGAAAGUUCUUAUGGUGCAGAUACCAGCUGGAUCCAAUUCUCAUUCAGCUAAUAGCUGGAAUGUGGAGAAGCUUCAACCAAAUCUCAAAAGCAAACAAAAUAAUCUGAAGGAUAAAGAUACGACGAAAGCAGCAAAUUCCUCUGAAAUCUACUGGGCUGAGGAAUGAUGAAACACAAGACAAAGCUCUUAUCUAUCAGGAAGUUUAAAGCACACCACCUUUUCAUAUGGGACCUAACUGAACGUAUAAUUGAAACAGUGAGACCACCUGGAUACACAACGUUGUCAACUAUAAAAAGGCAUACACAUACAACAUAUGGUUGCUGGUAUAAACAGGCCAAGCAACUUUUACAGGCACUUCUUGAGUAGCAAGAAAAAAAAGAUUUUAAAGGGGUUCACAUGAUUUCCAUUGCACCAAUUCUCAGUCCUAGAUUUAUUUUCAAGUUUGACAGCAGUUAUCCUAUUCAUUAUUUUGACACAUGCUGAGAUUGAAUCCAUAUGUUUUUUUAAUUCCACAAGAAAUCUGCCUGAAGUCUAAGCUGUAGAUGGGAGUACAAUAAAGGACUGUACUUGCUGAAUGUAAGCUGCGUGUCAACUACAUCUGAAAGCAAGAGUGAAGAGCUGGCAGAUGUAGGUAAGCAAUGUUUAUUAGGUAGCAAAGCUAGCUUUAAUUUAUUCAUAAAUGGGUCUGUAGAUUGGCAUUGCUAUAUACUGUGCUUUUUCAUCUAUUUCUCAGAUGAUCAGAGGCAGCAAUUUAAACCAUCAAGACCUUAGAAAAAGAAAAAAUCAAAACACAUUGAUUAUGCUGAUGACACAUUGAUGACACAACUCUCCUUAUGUGCUUACACAUAAACGUUCUUGUUUUUUUAUACUAUUUUUGAACAUAAGGUACCCCAGUUUGUAAUGCACAGAAAACCAAAUAAAAACUUGUUAGAACGUCCAAUGGCAUAGCUUGAUAGAAAACUGUAGCAUACUGUCACAUUUCUUUAUAAAGAGGAAAAAAUACACCUCUCUUUCCUGUUUUAGGUGUUCUAUAACUGCCACAGAUUUUAGAGACAGCUAAUAUGUAGCUGUUUAAAUUAAGAGUCAUGUGUGGCCAGGUAAAAUUUACUGCAAAAUAACUUCAUACUGUAGCCAUGAACUGGUAGAAGGAUCCUGCCUAGUUUUAAAUUGUUCCAAAAAGGGCAAAAGAAGGGAAAAAAAAACUGAUUGUGAUGAAGGACAUGCAGGUGGAGUGGAAUUUUGUAAAUGAUUUCAGCUGCAUUCAUUAAAAGUCUACUUUUUAGUCUCUGGGAUUCUUCAGGUGUUUACAGCUGGAAGUCUUCUGAGGAGCUGCUGAGGGAAUUGGGGUUGUUUCAUUUGGAGAAGAGGAGGCUUGGGGAGACCUUAUCACUCUAUAAAUACCAGAAAGAAUAUUGUGGUGAGGAGGAUAUUUUCCUCCUGUGUAAGUAGCAAUAGGACUAGAGGGAAUGGCAUCAAGUUACAGAGGAAAAAUUAAGUUACAUACUAGGAAAAAGUUACAUUCUAGGAAAAGUUUGUUCUCUGAAUGAGUGAUGAGAUGCUGGAAUCGGCUGCCCAAUCACCCCCUGGAAGUGUUCAAGAAGCAUUUA
rnacentral:lncRNA from 1 species